GCAAAAUCAGGUGUGGAUGUGUUGCGAGCAGUGGAAGAGUCCAUAAAAAGAGAACUUAGUAGUUCACUGAAGGCUGCUUUGAAUGCUGUUGCUGAGCAACCAUUAAAGCCUCCAUGUGGAAGAGCUAAAAUAGUAAUUUCUGUUCAAGACAAGGAUGGACUUAAACAAUUUCGCAUGUACAAGGAUGACAAGUUUGAGCGGCUCUUCAACAUGUAUAUGGAUAAGGCUAAACUUAAUAAUAUUCAAAGCAUAGUAUUUUCUUUUGAUGGGGACAAAGUCAGUCCAACAGCAACCCCGGACAGCCUUGGCAUGGAAGAUGAAGACAUUAUUGAAGUGCAUGUAAAGAAAAG
rnacentral:misc_RNA from 1 species